UNCUAUUAGUAUUCGCUGAACUAUAUGUA
rnacentral:piRNA from 1 species